GAGAAGAAUUAAGAAAUGUAGAAACUGCUAAUUAUCUAACCCGUGGUUAAACUCCACGAUCUACUC
rnacentral:tRNA from 1 species